GAUACAUAAAAACUUUCAAAAUCCUUCUACUACAUAAUUUGGAAGUCUAUGCAUGCUAUCUUCUUUCCUGGGACAUUUCCCAGUUCCAUCAAAAACAUAACAGCUGCAAUGAAUAGUAAGAUCAUUCCUAAGGGCCUUCCUCUAACCUCUGUCCUAUCAUAUCAAGUGUUAGGAACAAGAAGACUCAUUCUAAAGACCCAAUGGUCACAUGAGAGCAAUAGGAUCUAUACUAGGUUCUAAAGCCUCCGAUUUUUCUGAGUCCAGGCAAUCAAGAAAAGGGAAGCUGACUUGAGCCUAAGAAGACAUAGACAUCCAAACCGUUGAGCUGAACUCAAAAGAAGAAGCCUGGCCACUACCCUGGUCUGGUCUCCUUGAACAAGGAGGACACAAAGUAUGGCAGCAAGAUACCUGAGCUAGUUUCUACAGAAACAAAUGCAAUGGAAUUCAAGAGGGAGAAAAAGCUAGGAUCAAAUAGGGUAAAAAUAAAAGGAAAAGAAAGAUCAGGCAGACAGAGUUUGGUGCCCUCAAUAUAUCCCACUAGUAAGAGAAAUCUUGCUUAAAACAUUACUAAAGAAUACCCAUAGCAAGACAGCAUUUAGAAAGAGUAGCUUUAAGCUUGGGAAAGACAACAGGCCAAAGGGUAAGCCAGGGACAUGGCCCAGAGUUGACUCAUAUUAAACAUUCUCAGGCAAAUAUAGGCUGACCACAGUAUAGUACCUUGGGGCUCCUUAUACUCUUCAGGCAAGGAUAACAAUAAGGCUUGCAAUUCUCCUGGGACUCCAAUGGCACACACUCUUCAAGGAAUAAGUCCUAAGAAUAGUUCAAGGAGGAGAGGGUACAACAAGACCCUUCACUCUAGGAACACAGACCUCAUCAUGAAAAUGGGAACUUCUUUGGCUUUUCCUUUCUGCUUUACACAUAAAGCAAUAAUAGAGAUAAAAAGGAGCCAGGCUUCUCAAAUAAAAGGAAUAAUGAGUGGAAUUCACACAAAGUACUUGAGAAGGACUUUCUCCAAUUCCAAAGGUCAUCUGUCACUGUUUCUGAAGGAUUGCUUAUCCUCCUGAGUCAUUGCUAUAGCACACAUCUUUCCAUAAGAGAGGACUAGCUCAGAAGAAAAAGUGUGAGAAGCAAAAUUCAGUUCCCUCCCACAGAAUGAGGCUCCUUUAAUUUGGGGUUCUUUUGCUCAAGUGCCUGAUGGGUGCACAAGAAAAAAAUGCCUUGAGAGAAGACACAGCUAUACAAAGAGCUCAGGAAACCAAGAAACUGCUGCCUACUCUCAACUGGAUUCCAGACCCAUAGCUGGAAAUCCCUAUACUGUAGGAUCCCUUUCCCAGAGACUUACCCAGCUGGGUAUGCAACCAGACCUGACCGGGGGUCACAAGCCAGUCCUCUGCCUCCAGAUACUGUUAUUCCCAGCACCUUCUCCAAGGUUACCUGAUCAAGGAAAUAACAAUGAUGAGACAAAAAGAAAAGGGCACAAAUACUCUUCCCCAUAGUCCUGAAAUGUGUAGCUAAGAAGAAGAAACCAGCCUGAAGAGCAAAUGCAGUGAAUAGCAUGGAGGACCAUGGAGAACAGACACAGCAGCAGAAAAGUGCUUUUUAAAAUUCUAGCAACAGUAUCACAGUCAGAGACUCAACAAUGAGAAAUUAGCUGCUUUAUGCCCAACAAGGGUCUCCUUACAUCCAGGCCUCAAACCCAAUGCUCUGGAGAACAAAGCAGUACAGCCAAUGCUUUUGUAGGUGCACUGUGUUGUGAUGGGGGAAAGUCUACCCUCACAUUAAAACCAGUGUCAUCUUUCCCUUCACAUUAUAGCUUCCAGACAGCAAAAUUACAAGUAUAAGAUGGUGAUGCACUUGUUUAUUUGGGUGUGUUUUGGGGGUUUGGUUUUAUAAGAUUAUUCACAUGCAAAAAUGAACAAUAUGUAAAUGUUUUGCAUGAUAAUACAUGCAUAACUCAAGAAAACAAAUAAAUAACAGUGAUGCCAAUAUCCCUCACACAAUAUA